rnacentral:rRNA from 1 species
AUUGAACGCUGGCGGCAUGCUUUACACAUGCCAGUCGAACGGCAGCGCGGGCUUCGGCCUGGCGGCGAGUGGCGAACGGGUGAGUAAUGCAUCGGAACGUGCCCAGUAGUGGGGGAUAGCCCGGCGAAAGCCGGAUUAAUACCGCAUACGACCUGAGGGUGAAAGCGGGGGACCGAAAGGCCUCGCGCUAUUGGAGCGGCCGAUGUCGGAUUAGCUAGUUGGUGGGGUAAAGGCUUACCAAGGCGACGAUCCGUAGCUGGUCUGAGAGGACGACCAGCCAGACUGGGACUGAGACACGGCCCAGACUCCUACGGGAGGCAGCAGUGGGGAAUUUUGGACAAUGGGGGCAACCCUGAUCCAGCCAUGCCGCGUGCGGGAAGAAGGCCUUCGGGUUGUAAACCGCUUUUGUUCGGGAAGAAAUCCUCUGGGCUAAUACCCCGGGGGGAUGACGGUACCGGAAGAAUAAGCACCGGCUAACUACGUG